rnacentral:rRNA from 1 species
GAUGAACGCUAGCGGCAGGCCUAAUACAUGCAAGCCAAGGGCUGUUUGGUGUAGCACUACCUCACACAACCGGCGGACGGGUGCGUAACGCGUAUGCAACCUACCCUCUACAGGAGGAUAGCCCUCGGAAACGAGGAUUAAUACUCCAUAAGAUUGCUUAGAGGCAUCUUUAAGCAAUUAAAGCCGCAAGGCGGUAUAGGAUGGGCGUGCGUCCGAUUAGCUAGUUGGUGAGGUAACGGCUCACCAAGGCGAUGAUCGGUAGGGGUUCUGAGAGGAAGAUCCCCCACACGGGCACUGAGACACGGGCCCGACUCCUACGGGAGGCAGCAGUAAGGAAUAUUGGACAAUGGGUGAAAGCCUGAUCCAGCCAUGCCGCGUGCAGGAAGAAGGCCCUAUGGGUUGUAAACUGCUUUUGAGAGGGAGUAAUGAGAGCGAUGCGUCGCUCGAUGAUAGUACUUCACGAAUAAGCAUCGGCUAACUUCGUG